GUUUGUUUUUGUUUUUUCCCUCUGUGUAGCCCUGGCUGUCCUGGAACUCACUAUGUAGACCAGGCUGGCCUCAAACUCAGAAAUCUGCCUGCCUCUGACUCCUAAGUGUUGGAAUUAAAGGGAUGCACCACCACUGCCCACCUCCUGGCUAGCUUUAAAGGCAAUUUUACAUUUACAUUUAUUAGUUGAUGCCUUCCAUAAAAAAAAAAAUAGUUGUCAAAGUCAGUUUCUUGGAUUUCAAAAGGAAAAGAGCUGAAGAGCAAUUGUAUAUCAUGAUUUUCUCCUUCGAUUUUCAGGCACAAGAGUUUGGAGGCAUGGCCAUGAGAAUGAAUGGAAAUCUCCAACUGACUGUGGUAGAAUGGUGAAAGACAUCUUCAGGAUGAUACCGCGACCUGGGAUAAGGGAGGUGCCCAAGAAAAAUGGGAUUGACCUUAGCAGGACUCAUCCUACAGCAAGGCAGGAACCCCAGUGGAGUGAUAUACACACCAACCCACCCACAAAACUUGCUUUUUAUUUUUUUAGUGCCACUGUAGACUAAGAAUUAGACACAUCAUCUUAUAAGCCUCCAUGAGGGUCGGUAUUGCUGCCUUAAAAUCCUGGGUCUUCAGCAAACACAGGGAUUAAUUGGAAGUUACAAGUUCCAGCGAAGCCUGUUCUUGAGGAAACACAGUCUUUGUGGACUCACAAGAGGAUGUAUUCAACUUCCCAGCUCACUGAUUUGACAGUAAAGGAUUCUUGGGUGGCAUUUCAGAGCAUAGAGAUGACCCUAGAACACCUCUGCUCCCAACCCUGCCCCUACCCCCUGCUGAAGCCUCUGUUUCAAAUGAUGUAGCUACUUGGAUGUACCUACUUUAAAAAUAAAAUGAUAUGCAA
rnacentral:lncRNA from 1 species